rnacentral:tRNA from 1 species
AGGCACGUAGCUCAGUUGGUUAGAGCACCACCUUGACAUGGUGGGGGGUCGUUGGUUCGAAUCCAAUCGUGCCUACCA